AUAACAGCGACACCGUGUGGGACGCUAAGUGCUACGCCUGAAAAGAAGCUUCUUACCUCGGAAGGGUAUCCUAUCAAAUAUGAACCUUCACAAACAUGUUCGUGGACUAUUCAAGCAUUGGAUCCUUCCAAGAAUGUACUUCUAGAGAUAGUGGACUUGAUGAUUCAGCCCUCAACUAAUUGUGUGGAUGAUUCAGUCAGCAUAUAUGACGGUAACUCGAACACUGCCACUAAGCUUGACACGUUAUGCGGAGACAGCGGAGUGUUCUUGGC